AUUGAACGCUGGCGGCAGGCCUAACACAUGCAAGUCGAGCGGAGCGGCGGACGGGUGAGUAAUGCCUAGGAAUCUGCCUGGUAGUGGGGGAUAACGUCCGGAAACGGGCGCUAAUACCGCAUACUAUCAGAUGAGCCUAGGUCGGAUUAGCUAGUUGGGGGGGUAAAGGCCUACCAAGGCGACGAUCCGUAACUGGUCUGAGAGGAUGAUCAGUCACCCUGGAACUGAGACACGGUCCAGACUCCUACGGGAGGCAGUAGUGGGGAAUAAUGGACAAUGGGCGAAAGCCUGAUCCAGCCAGGCCGCGUGUGGGAAGAAGGUCUUCGGAGUGUAAAGCACUUUAAGUUGGGAGGCGUUACCAACAGAAUAAGCACCGGCUAACUUCGUGCCAGCAGCCGCGGUAAUUC
rnacentral:rRNA from 1 species